rnacentral:rRNA from 1 species
GCUCAGAUUGAACGCUGGCGGCAUGCCUUACACAUGCAAGUCGAGCGGCAGCGCGGGGGCAACCCUGGCGGCGAGCGGCGGACGGGUGAGUAAUGCAUCGGAACGUGUCCUUUUGUGGGGGAUAACCAGUCGAAAGGCUGGCUAAUACCGCAUGAGCUCGUAAGAGGAAAGCAGGGGACCCGCAAGGGCCUUGCGCGAGAGGAGCGGCCGAUGCCCGAUUAGCUAGUUGGUGGAGUAAAAGCCCACCAAGGCGACGAUCGGUAGCUGGUCUGAGAGGACGACCAGCCACACUGGGACUGAGACACGGCCCAGACUCCUACGGGAGGCAGCAGUGGGGAAUUUUGGACAAUGGGGGAAACCCUGAUCCAGCCAUGCCGCGUGUGUGAAGAAGGCCUUCGGGUUGUAAAGCACUUUCGGACGGAACGAAAUCGCGCGUGUUAAUAGCCCGCGUGGAUGACGGACCGAAGAAGA